rnacentral:rRNA from 1 species
UACACACCGCCCGUCACACCAUGGGAGUGGGUUUCACCAGAAGUAGUUAGCCUAACCGCAAGGAGGGCGACUACCACGGUGAGAUUCAUGACUGGGGUGAAGUCGUAACAAGGUACCC